rnacentral:rRNA from 1 species
AGGACGAACGCUGGCGGCGUGCCUAAUACAUGCAAGUAGAACGCUGAAGAGAGGAGCUUGCUCUUCUUGGAUGAGUUGCGAACGGGUGAGUAACGCGUAGGUAACCUGCCUUGUAGCGGGGGAUAACUAUUGGAAACGAUAGCUAAUACCGCAUAACAAUGGAUGACACAUGUCAUUUAUUUGAAAGGGGCAAUUGCUCCACUACAAGAUGGACCUGCGUUGUAUUAGCUAGUAGGUGAGGUAACGGCUCACCUAGGCGACGAUACAUAGCCGACCUGAGAGGGUGAUCGGCCACACUGGGACUGAGACACGGCCCAGACUCCUACGGGAGGCAGCAGUAGGGAAUCUUCGGCAAUGGGGGCAACCCUGACCGAGCAACGCCGCGUGAGUGAAGAAGGUUUUCGGAUCGUAAAGCUCUGUUGUAAGUCAAGAACGAGUGUGAGAGUGGAAAGUUCACACUGUGACGGUAGCUUACCAGAAAGGGACGGCUAACUACGUGCCAGCAGCCGCGGUAAUACGUAGGUCCCGAGCGUUGUCCGGAUUUAUUGGGCGUAAAGCGAGCGCAGGCGGUUUGAUAAGUCUGAAGUUAAAGGCUGUGGCUCAACCAUAGUUCGCUUUGGAAACUGUCAAACUUGAGUGCAGAAGGGGAGAGUGGAAUUCCAUGUGUAGCGGUGAAAUGCGUAGAUAUAUGGAGGAACACCGGUGGCGAAAGCGGCUCUCUGGUCUGUAACUGACGCUGAGGCUCGAAAGCGUGGGGAGCGAACAGGAUUAGAUACCCUGGUAGUCCACGCCGUAAACGAUGAGUGCUAGGUGUUGGAUCCUUUCCGGGAUUCAGUGCCGCAGCUAACGCAUUAAGCACUCCGCCUGGGGAGUACGACCGCAAGGUUGAAACUCAAAGGAAUUGACGGGGGCCCGCACAAGCGGUGGAGCAUGUGGUUUAAUUCGAAGCAACGCGAAGAACCUUACCAGGUCUUGACAUCCCGAUGCUAUUUCUAGAGAUAGAAAGUUACUUCGGUACAUCGGUGACAGGUGGUGCAUGGUUGUCGUCAGCUCGUGUCGUGAGAUGUUGGGUUAAGUCCCGCAACGAGCGCAACCCCUAUUGUUAGUUGCCAUCAUUCAGUUGGGCACUCUAGCGAGACUGCCGGUAAUAAACCGGAGGAAGGUGGGGAUGACGUCAAAUCAUCAUGCCCCUUAUGACCUGGGCUACACACGUGCUACAAUGGUUGGUACAACGAGUUGCGAGUCGGUGACGGCAAGCUAAUCUCUUAAAGCCAAUCUCAGUUCGGAUUGUAGGCUGCAACUCGCCUACAUGAAGUCGGAAUCGCUAGUAAUCGCGGAUCAGCACGCCGCGGUGAAUACGUUCCCGGGCCUUGUACACACCGCCCGUCACACCACGAGAGUUUGUAACACCCGAAGUCGGUGAGGUAACCUUUUGGAGCCAGCCGCCUAAGGUGGGAUAGAUGAUUGGGGUGAAGUCGUAACAAGGUAACC